AUAAAGUUUUAUUUUAGCUUAUUAUUUUAUUAUUUAUUUAUUUUAUAUGUAAGUAUUUGCAUGAAUUUUUAUUUAUUUUAAUAGUAAUUUAUUAUAUUUUAAUUUGCAGUAAUUAAUAUUAUAAAUUAAAGGAAUUUAGAAUUAGUAAUUUAAUUAGUAUUGACUAAAUUUAUGCCAGCAGUCGCGGUUAUAUAAAUAAUAUAAAUAAAAUUUAUUAAUAUAAGUUAAUUUUUUUUUGAAAAAAGUAAUAUAAUAUUAUUAGGUGAAAUUUUAAUAUUAUUUAAUUUUAUUAAAUUGUAAUUGAUUCUUAUAAAUUUUUAUUUUAAACUAGGAUUAGAUACCCUAUUAUUAAAAAUUUAAUUUUAAAUAUUUAAGUAGUAUUAGUUAAGUUCUUGAAAUUUAAAAAAUUUGGCGGUAUUUUAGUCUAUUCAGAGGAACCUGUUUUUUAAUCGAUAAUCCACGAUGAAUCUUACUUAAAAUUGUUUAGUUUAUAUAUCGUCGUUUACAGAAUAUUUUAUUAAAAUAAUAAUUUUCUAAAUUUUUUAUUAAAAAUUAUAUCAGAUCAAGAUGUAGCUUAUGUUUAAGUUUAUAAUGGGUUACAAUUAUUAUAUUAUUGGAUAUAGAUUUUAAAUUAUUUAUUUAAAUUGGAUUUGAUAGUAAAUUUAUAUAGAUAGAUAAUUUGAUUUUAGCUCUAAAAUAUGCACAUAUCGCCCGUCGCUCUUAUUAUUUUAAAGUAAGAUAAGUCGUAACAUAGUAGAUGUACUGGAAGGUGUAUCUAGAAUGAC
rnacentral:ncRNA from 1 species